GGCUCUGUGGCCCAAUGGAGGCGCAUUGGACUUCUAUUCAAAAGGUUGUGGGUUUGAGUCCCACCAGAGUCG